AUGUCAGCCCCCAAGUCAAGCUCAUUCUCUGCAAAAUUGGGGGUGACCUCAUGUCCAGACCACUUGUCCACUAGUUCUGGAGGGUCGGCGGGGACCUGGGCUGAGUCGGGGCAUCAGAGAAGGGCAGGGCUGGUUUUUGUCCUGAGUCCCGGGGCUGUGAGCCAAAGCACUCAGUACUUCGGCGCGGGCACCCGGCUGUUGGUGUUAGGUGAGCUGGGACGACCCCGGAGACCCGAGGGAUGGGCGGCGGGUUUUUGCGCGGGGCUGGGGGGCCGUGACUCAGAGACGCAGUACUUCGGGCCGGGCACGCGGCUCCUGGUGCUAGACGAUCUGAGCCGGGUGCACCCGCCCAAGGUGGCUGUGUUCGAACCCUCGGAAGCAGAGAUCGACCGGACCCAGAAGGCCACGCUCGUGUGCCUGGCCACGGGCUUCUACCCCGACCACGUGGAGCUGACCUGGUGGGUGAACAGGAAGCAGGUCACCACUGGGGUCAGCACGGACCCUGAGCCCUACAAGGAGGACCCCACGCGGGAGGACUCCAGAUACUGUCUGAGCAGCCGGCUGAGAGUGACCGCCGCCUUCUGGCACAACCCCCGCAACCACUUCCGCUGCCAAGUCCAGUUCCACGGGCUCACGGACGAGGACGAGUGGAAGCCGGACAGGGCCAAGCCCGUCACCCAGAACAUCAGCGCCGAGGCCUGGGGCAGAGCAGACUGUGGUGUCACCUCCGCGUCUUAUCAGCAAGGCGUCCUGUCUGCCACCCUCCUCUAUGAGAUCCUGCUGGGGAAGGCCACCCUGUACGCUGUGCUGGUCAGCGCCCUGGUGCUGAUGGCCAUGGUCAAGAGAAAAGAUUCCUGAAGCCAGCUUAGAAGUGGAGCCAGGAGCUUCCAGCCUGUUGCUGCCCUGAUGUGAGUUCUGCUUUUCCCAUUCCUACCCAGCGCUUCUGAAGAGCUGCUCUCAUCUCUGGACUCAGCCCAGCGUCCACUCCCAUGUGGGGGUGCCCCAGACUCUCAGGACCAGGAUCUCCCUAACCCAGGGGAGACCCUAGGGGGACUGAACUUGCUGAACCAAUAAAAAUGGCCUGUUGUGUUUUCA